AAAGGAAACCUUCAAGAAAGGGAGAUUCCCAGGCCAUCUUUAGAAUUUAGGCCCUGAUUUCACAUCAUAGAAUUGUUUCUCUUGGGGGAGGUUCAAUGAAAGACUUAAAGAACUUAGUGGAUAUGAAGACAUACUGUAGAUGUUAGGAACUGCUGCUGUUGCCUUAAAGGAUACCCCUUUCCCCAGAUCCCUGUUGAUUCAUCUUAUUUAUACAACAAAUCCGUAGACUAGAGCCUGGCACA
rnacentral:lncRNA from 1 species